rnacentral:rRNA from 1 species
UACGUAGGGUGCGAGCGUUGUCCGGAAUUACUGGGCGUAAAGAGCGCGCAGGCGGUCGUUCAAGUCGAGUGUGAAAGCCCCCGGCUCAACUGGGGAGGGUCACUCGAUACUGAUCGACUCGAAGGCAGAAGAGGGAAGCGGAAUUCCCGGUGUAGUGGUGAAAUGCGUAGAUAUCGGGAGGAACACCAGUGGCGAAGGCGGCUUUCUGGUCUGCUCUUGACGCUGAGGCGCGAAAGCUAGGGUAGCAAACGGG